GACGAACGCUGGCGGCGUGCCUAAUACAUGCAAGUUGAGCGCUGAAGGUUGGUACUUGUACCAACUGGAUGAGCAGCGAACGGGUGAGUAACGCGUGGGGAAUCUGCCCUUGAGCAGGGGACAACAUUUGGAAACGAAUGCUAAUACCGCAUAAAAACUUUAAACACAAGUUUUAAGUUUGAAAGAUGCAAUUGCAUCACUCAAAGAUGAUCCCGCGUUGUAUUAGCUAGUUGGUGAGGUAAAGGCUCACCAAGGCGAUGAUACAUAGCCGACCUGAGAGGGUGAUCGGCCACAUUGGGACUGAGACACGGCCCAAACUCCUACGGGAGGCAGCAGUAGGGAAUCUUCGGCAAUGGACGAAAGUCUGACCGAGCAACGCCGCGUGAGUGAAGAAGGUUGUCGGAUCGUAAAACUCUGUUGGUAGAGAAGAACGUUGGUGAGAGUGGAAAGCUCACCAAGUGACGGUAACUACCCAGAAAGGGACGGCUAACUACGUG
rnacentral:rRNA from 1 species